ACAGGUUGUGAUGGCGGGCGCGGGGCGGCGUGUGUCGGGCGUGGGGGAGGCUGGGCGCCGGCGCGGAGGCUCCAACACCUGGCCCAUAGCCAACCAGAGGGCGCGGGUGGCCUGGCUAGGCCUAUGUGUGCUGGCCAGUGUGGUGGAGGGCGCCGUGGGAGCCGCCGCCGGGUCCAGGAACAACGUAGGCGUGGGGGACUCGAACCGGAACAUCCAGUGCCCGUCCCUCCACGAGAUCUCCCCCUGCACUUGCCGGGUUAUGACAAAAGGCAAGGAAUCCGGCCUUGAUAUCGUGUGCGACCACGCCGACGAGAAACACGUACGCAACGCCCUUGACGUCCUGAAAAAGACGCAGUACACCAUCUACUGGAUGAAGUUCCGGAACUGCAUGCUCCCGCGCCUGCUCGACUACAUCUUCCUGGGACUCGACGUGCGCCAUCUUAACAUUAUCAGGAGCAACCUCAGCAGUAUUGAGAGGUCCUCGCUGUCGGCCCUGGGGAGUAAUCUGGUCACCUUAGAUCUCUCCAACAAUAGGAUUCGUGAGGUCCCCACCGCGGCUCUGGCCUCGCUGAAGAUGCUCACAUUUCUCAACCUCAACUACAACCAGAUCAAGAGGCUGAACGAGAGCGCUUUCUUCGGCCUCAACGUCCUCGAGCGACUCUCCCUCUACGAGAACAAAAUUCAACACAUUGACGAUAACGCCUUCAAGGGCAUCGGCAGGAAGCUGCUGCGACUCAACCUGGGCAAGAACAUGUUGGAAUACAUCCCCACCGACACCUUCCACCCGCUGGUCAACCUCGAGGUGCUCGACCUACACGAGAACCGCAUCAGUCACAUCCCAGACGGCGCCUUCCAGGGUCUGCACAAGCUGGACAUGUUGAAGCUGGAGCACAACCUGAUCACCACCAUCCAGGAGAACGUCUUCAGCGACCUCACCGUCCUCAACUCCCUCAACAUCGAGCACAACCACAUUGUCAACAUCAGCGACCGCGCCUUCGCUGGCCUCGAGAAAUGUAACCUGGAGUGGCUGGAGCUGGGUCACAACCGCCUCGACCACAUCCCGUCCCACGCCCUCCGGCCUCUCCACAACCUCCGACAGCUCGACCUCGACUCCAACAAGAUCGCCACGGUUCAGGAGGACGCCUUCAAGGGCUACGGAGACACAAUUAAAUAUAUCCUCCUCGACAAAAACCACAUAAGGAGCAUACCACCGCCGGCGUUCAUGGACCUGCAUUCACUGGAGUGGCUGAAGCUGUCCCACAACGAACUCACUCACCUCACCGAGGACGCCGUCCAGCCCAUACUCGACACACUCACCAUGAUCGACGUCUCCAACAACCCCCUGGAGUGCAGCUGUGACCUGCUGUGGCUGCGGCGGUGGCUCAGCAACCCCAAUAACAAGGACAACAUGGUGUCCCAGGAGGACCACAUCUGCGUCACCAAGGCCCGCAAGUCCCACGUCAUCCAGGACCUGCCCUUCCAGGACUUCAACUGCCCAGUGCCCCUCACCACUGAGGGACGUUCCCCCAACAGGGCGCCUGUGUUGACCUGCUCCCAAGUCAUGGUGGCCCUGGGCGUCAUGUCCACCUUCGUCAGAGAAAACACGUGGUAAUGCGGCGCCUGCACCAGCACCAGCAAAAUACGCACACGGGCAACAACGUGUUCUAAAUAUCCGUUUAGUACCUGAACGCCGGGGGACGGACGGCCGCAUAGUCAACAAGGCCCAAGUGCUGGAUGCUAAUUGGUCCAGUCAGCCAGUGCCGGAUUCUGAUUGGUCCAGCCAGCCAGUGCCGGAUGCUGAUUGGCCAGCCAGCUACUGCCAGAUGCUGAUUGGUUCAGCCAGCCAGGACCGGACGCUGAUUGGUCCAGCCAGCCAGGGCCGAGAAGCCAACCAGGGAUGCGGUUUGCUCCCAAACGGACCCGAAUACCGCUCUCAACGCGGUCUUUCCUCAACUUUACCCAGUAACAUGUUUUCUAAUACUUUUCUUUCUCACGGACGAAUAUAUAUUAAAUAAGCAUAUCCCAUAUUAGUUAGAUGUGUUGUCCGUGGCUGAUGAGAGUGUGAGUGAGUGAGUGAGAGAAGAGAAGGGUUAAUAGAGUUAUGAAACCAUUGUUAGUCUUGAAUCCUUUUACGGUGUGCGUUCCACCGGGUUUUAUAGUUGUGUAAAGGUUCUUGCUUUUAGCUGCGUGCUCGACACACCGUUAGUGUUUAUGUACAGUUUCAGAUGCUUUUCAAAUUAUACUGGAUUACCUAGGAUUAAGUAGUCUAUAUAUAGAGUUGAGGUAUUCCGAUAUUUAUAGACAAAUGUAUUGUUGCUAGGAAUGAUGCUGGAUAUCUGCCAAGUAUUUUAUGAACGUAAAAAAAUUCAAAAAAAUAAUAUCCUGAACCAAAUGAGACAUGGAGAAUAUUUGUGGUCAGAUGCUAUGAGAGUGUUUGUUGUGGCGCGUUUAUCUAGACUAAGCUAACAUGUCAAUCACUGUGUUCUUCUUAACGAUUGUUCCAGUUGCCCGCACUCCUAUUGAAACCCAUUACAUAAAUCCUCUUUGAAACCCAUUACAUAAAUCCUCUUUGAAACCCAUUACAUAAAUCCUCUUUGAAACCCAUUACAUAAAUCCUCUUUGAAACCCAUUACAUAAAUCCUCUUUGAAACCCAUUACAUAAAUCCUCUUUGAAACCCAUUACAUAAAUCCUCUUUGCACCACCAGUUGACCCCUAAUAAAAACAAGAAAAAACUUGCAUCUAAUUACACUUUCGAUGAUCAAAACUUCGCUUUCAAUUUACAUCCCAUGCACAAUAUUCCAGCCUGUCCUCUCAAUUUGCCACUCCGUAAAAAAUGCAACUUUUUUUUUUUUGCCUAACUAGAACAUACGAACCCAAGCAACCUAACCUAGCCUAUCUAGGCCGAUACAUAUAAAACGUCAAUAUUAAGGGGUUUUAAUAUUUACUAAUACGUCGCAUUUUGUUAACGCAUUAAGUAGGUUCCGUAAAAAAAUGGAACGUUUUGGGUGAGAGGAUAGGCCGAUAUUUUCCCCGAGGGCAUUCUUGUUUAUUUUCUAUGCUUAGCAUUUAAAAGACAGAUAUUGGUAUUCAAAUUCCUUCAUAGGAUUCCAAUUGCUGGACGUAAGUGUUAUUGGAUUCUUAUAUACGACCUUUUUAGUGAAUGGCAGAAAUUCCAGGCUGCAUUAGACAAUUUAGGGUCUUGUUUUGAAAAUGUGUUGAUAUUCAGGAGGCUAGGCCCCGGCCGUUCUUGAGGCUAGGCCCCGGCCGUUCAUGAGGCUAGGACCCGGCCGUUCUUGAGGCUAGGACCCGGCCGUUCAUGAGGCUAGGCCCCGGCCGUUCUUGAGGCUAGGACCCGGCCGUUCAUGAGGCUAGGCCCCGGCCGUUCAUGAGGCUAGGACCCGGCCGUUCAUGAGGCUAGGACCCGGCCGUUCAUGAGGCUGGGACCCGGCCGUUCAUGAGGCUAGGACCCGGCCGUUCAUGAGGCUAGGACCCGGCCGUUCUUGAGGCUAGGCCCCGGCCGUUCAUGAGGCUGGGACCCGGCCGUUCAUGAGGCUAGGACCCGGCCGUUCAUGAGGCUAGGCCCCGGCCGUUCAUGAGGCUAGGACCCGGCCGUUCAUGAAGGUAAAGCCAAAGCGUUGUUGUUAUACUGCCUCGCUUCUUUUCCCUCACUGGUGCGUCUGGCGAUUACCAUUUGUUGGCUUUGAGUGUAGUGUAUGCAAGUCUUUGUAUACUCUCGUAUUAAAGAAAGCCUUAAACAACUGAGUCUUUAGUCUGUGGCUUAUUCUUCCACAUGAACUGAUACGUUUGGAUAUAAUUUGUCUCAUCUUUCCACAUUACAUUUGAGUGCGAUGUAAAGUAAUCAGUGUAUCUCUCCAAAGGCUCCCUUGUAUAGCCCAGCAAACACUCAAGGUAGCUCACACUGUCGUAGCGAGAUAGCCUCACCGUCGUAUAGCAAAGUAGCCACACUCAUAUAGCAAGGUAGCCACACUGUCAUAGCAAGGUUAGCCACGAUAUUGUGACAGCGUAGCAUCAUGAGUGUUUGCCGGGUUAUACAUUUCUUGAUAAACAAUUGAGUAAGAACCAUUUGGAGCCUGUCUGUCUGUCUGUCUGUCUGUACUCUCGGUGUGAGAUUUAGACAUGUACCAAUUCUGUAGUCCCUAGGAUCCGUGCCCUCCCCGUCGCCCCAGCAAGAGUUAUGAUAUAUUUUUGUAAUUAAGUAUGCUAGUAUCGGGCUGUUCUUAUGUUGGUGGGCCGGCGGGCAGGUGGCGGCAUAUGACGUGAGUACUUGUUUGUUGUGGUGUUUGGUCUGGGUGGGGCGACCAUGGACGGGGUCCCCAGAUGUGACCCUCAUGUCAGGCUCGGUGCACCUCAACCGGCUACAUAUGGUCGCCAAGCCGGAUAUAUAAGUACCAAGACAAUCGGACAUGUUUAUAUUGCCAAUAAGGCCGGUCUUGGUCGCUAGGCCGGACUCGGUCAACGGGCCAAACUGGUUCACUUGGCUCCUCGUCUCUGGCCGGUCACUCGAGGCCAUCGCCAAGUUGUCAACAAUUAUUAUUAUGAUUUGAAGGCCAAGUUUGGUCAAUAUUUUUGUUGUCAGUUGAUACAUGUCAAGACAUUGAUGGAUGGAACCAAUAAACUUGUAAACAGUGA
rnacentral:misc_RNA from 1 species